rnacentral:rRNA from 1 species
GUGAAUCAUCGAAUCUUUGAACGCAUCUUGCACUCUCUGGUAUUCCGGAGAGUAUGUCUGUUUGAGUGUCAUGAAUUCUUCAACCCUCCCUUUUCUUAGUGAAUUGAGAGGAGUUUGGAUUCUGAGUGUUGCUCCUAACCCGAGCUCAUUCGUAAUAUAUUAGCAUCCAUAUUCGACUUCGGAUUGACUUGGCGUAAUAGACUAUUCGCUGAGGAAUCUAACUUCGGUUAGAGCCGUUUUUGAACUAGGAAGCUGCUAAUCUAGCUUAGUCUACCUUUAGAUUAGAUCUCAAAUCAGAUAGAAUUACCCGCUGAACUUAA